UGCAUGUCUAAGUAUAAGCAAUUAUACCGUGAAACUGCGAAUGGCUCAUUAAAUCAGUUAUCGUUUAUUUGAUAGUACCUUACUACUUGGAUAACCGUGGUAAUUCUAGAGCUAAUACAUGCUGAAAACCCUGACUUCGGAAAGGGUGUAUUUAUUAGAUAAAAAACCAAUGCCCUUUGGGCUCUUGGUGAUUCAUGAUAACUUAACGGAUCGCAUGGCCUUGCGCCGGCGACGGUUCAUUCAAAUUUCUGCCCUAUCAACUUUCGAUGGUAAGGUAUUGGCUUACCAUGGUUUCAACGGGUAACGGGGAAUUAGGGUUCGAUUCCGGAGAGGGAGCCUGAGAAACGGCUACCACAUCCAAGGAAGGCAGCAGGCGCGCAAAUUACCCAAUCCCGACACGGGGAGGUAGUGACAAUAAAUACUGAUACAGGGCUCUUUAGGGUCUUGUAAUCGGAAUGAGUACAAUUUAAACCUCUUAACGAGGAACAAUUGGAGGGCAAGUCUGGUGCCAGCAGCCGCGGUAAUUCCAGCUCCAAUAGCGUAUAUUAAAGUUGUUGCAGUUAAAAAGCUCGUAGUUGAAUCUUGGGCCUGGCUGGCCGGUCCGCCUCACCGCGUGUACUGGUCUGGCCGGGCCUUUCCUUCUGGAGAACCUCAUGCCCUUCAGUGGGUGUGUUGGGGAACCAGGACUUUUACUUUGAAAAAAUUAGAGUGUUCAAAGCAGGCCUUUGCUCGAAUACGUUAGCAUGGAAUAAUAGAAUAGGACGUGCGGUCCUAUUUUGUUGGUUUCUAGGACCGCCGUAAUGAUUAAUAGGGAUAGUCGGGGGCAUCAGUAUUCAAUUGUCAGAGGUGAAAUUCUUGGAUUUAUUGAAGACUAACUACUGCGAAAGCAUUUGCCAAGGAUGUUUUCAUUAAUCAGUGAACGAAAGUUAGGGGAUCGAAGACGAUCAGAUACCGUCGUAGUCUUAACCGUAAACUAUGCCGACUAGGGAUCGGGCGAUGUUUCUAUAUUGACUCGCUCGGCACCUUACGAGAAAUCAAAGUUUUUGGGUUCUGGGGGGAGUAUGGUCGCAAGGCUGAAACUUA
rnacentral:rRNA from 2 species